GUGGGGAAUCUUGCGCAAUGGGCGAAAGCCUGACGCAGCCAUGCCACGUGAAUGAUGAAGGUCUUAGGAUUGUAAAAUUCUUUCACCGGGGACGAUAAUGACGGUACCCGGAGAAGAAGCUCCGGCUAACUUCGUGCCAGCAGCCGCGGUAAUACGAAGGGGGCUAGCGUUGCUCGGAAUUACUGGGCGUAAAGGGCGCGUAGGCGGACAGCUUAGUCAGAGGUGAAAGCCCAGGGCUCAACCUUGGAAUUGCCUUUGAUACUGGCUGUCUUGAGUUUGGGAGAGGUGAGUGGAACUCCGAGUGUAGAGGUGAAAUUCGUAGAUAUUCGGAAGAACACCAGUGGCGAAGGCGACUCACUGGCCCAAUACUGACGCUGAGGCGCGAAAGCGUGGGGAGCAAACAGGAUUAGAAACCCGGGUAGUCC
rnacentral:rRNA from 1 species